rnacentral:rRNA from 1 species
UGCUACACCCAUACUGCCCUGAAUUUACCACAUCUCACCUGAUCUCAGAAGCUAAGCAGGGUUGGACCUGGUUAGUAU